UUUUUAUAUAUAAAAUGCUCUGAAACCGAAAUACCUUUAGUUUUGGUGAUCCUCUCAGCUCCGGAUCAUUUUCAAGUCCUCUGGUGGUUGCAGUCCUAACCCUGAAACGGGUAGCACCAUAGAAAGAAGCUGGUGGUUAUAGUCCUUACCCUGGAACUGGUAGCACCAUAGAAAGAAGCUGGUGGUUACAGUCCUAACCCUGGAACGUGUAGCACCAUAGAAAGAAGCUAGUGGUUACAGUCCUAACCCUGGAACGGGUAGCACCAUAGAAAGAAGCUGGUGGUUACAGUCCUUACCCUGGAACUGGUAGCACCAUAGAAAGGCGUGACUUUCAGGUUACAAUAGGCUAUAAGUAUACAGCAGAUUGCCAAUUGUCCUCACUUUGAUUGUACUGUAGCACCAUGACCAGGAUCUCUAUAAAUUUAAAUGAGCAGAUUAGUGCUUUCAGGAGGAACGGACAAUCUACUGAAUGCAUUUCAUAAAUACUGGUAGACUUGGGGACUUUGGUCACGGACAGUGCUAAUCAUCAGAUGUCUGUUUUACACCGAACUUGCAAGUCCAGGAAAAUUAACAGGUACAGUAGGCUACGAUACUUUAAUGUAGGCCUAAUAAUGCUAAAAAAUAAUGCUUAAAUAAAUUGACUGCUGGUCUUUAGUGUAUGCUGCACAUUUUCACAUUGUAUUUAAUUUCCAGCAAGACUAUUCAAGCCAUCGACUCACUGAUGAAUGAAGAUGAUGAGCGAUCAGCAAAGGCAAUCUGUAAUCUGCUGGCAUCAUGCCACGAAAUCAACAUCGCUCUAAUUACAGUAAGAAGACAGUUGAAUAAACUUGGGUGGACUUACGGAAAGGCUUGGCCCAGGCAUGGAUCAAAGCUGGCGAGACAUUCAAUAACAUCAUAUUCAUAGUCUAAUCAACCGUGGCCCUUGAGCAAUUUGCUCAAAAAAAAGAACGACGAUCAAGCAAGCCGAGUCCCAAGCAUCUUCUCAAACUCCAUGUGUGGGGGGCAAUUUUUUGCCAGGGCACAGGCCCAUAUUUGAUUUUUGAUGGUAUCAAGGCUCGAGAUUUCUUUGAGGAAGAAAUCAUCGAGAUAUGCUGGACCCUAUGUCAGAGAGGUGUUUCUGGGUACACAUCGUUUCUUUCAAGAUGCAGACAAUGACCCACAACACACUGCCGCCUGGGUUUGCAUUGCAAAUGAGGGCAUAAACUGGGUCAAGACGCCAGCAGAGUAAGUAGACCUUUAUGUAGCAAAAUAAAGGUUCAAUAAAAAUAAAUAAAUAAAAUACCUACAACACCUUCGGUAAGCCUACAGUAUAUCUAAAAAUAUUAUUUCCAUCUCUACAUGUAUUUCUCCUGAUUUAAACCCAAUCGAACUUGUUUGGCAUCAACUGAAAACAUUCAUCCGUAACUCUGCCAAGCCGACAAGCACAGAUGAACUGGUCAAGGCCAUCAAGAGGUUUUGGCGCUAGAAGAUUGAAGAUGUAACAAUGCAACAAAUACAUUGAUCAUCUCAGCAAGGUUUUACCUGUGGUCGUAGUUUGUUGUUUGUUUGUAGUUUAUAUAAACAUCCACAUUUGAAUGUCUUUAUUCUAAUUAUUUUAUUAACAAAAGAACAAAGAUGUUGCUGAAUAAGUACUGUACUGCUGUUCUGAGUUAGAAAUGUAACACUUUAGAGGACUUAAGCAUUGAAUACAUUGCAAGUUGGGAGAUUUUCACAACAGUAGCCGGGUUAUAAAAAGUCUAUUGUCCUGCUAAUAGGAAACAUUUGCAUGAUGGGCUUCACCUGCUACAGUUGUGAAAAACAAGUGUUUGAAAACCUGUUUUCAAAAUGCCUCCAGUUGUCCAUCACUACUGUAAAUAAAAA